rnacentral:tRNA from 2 species
AGGAGUGUAGCUCAGUUGGCUAGAGCAACGGUCUCCAAAACCGUAGGUCGGGGGUUCGAGUCCCUCCACUCCUGCCA